AGAGUUUGAUCCUGGCUCAGAUUGAACGCUGGCGGCGUGCCUAACACAUGCAAGUCGAGCGGUAACAGGUGUAGCAAUACAUGCUGACGAGCGGCGAACGGGUGAGUAAUGCUUCGGAAUCUACCCUAUAGUGGGGAAUAACUAGCCGAAAGGUUAGCUAAUACCGCAUAAGUCCUACGGGAGAAAGCAGGGGAUCGCAAGACCUUGCGCUGAUGGAUGAGCCGAAGUCGGAUUAGCUAGUUGGUGAGGUAACGGCUCACCAAGGCGACGAUCCGUAGCUGGUCUGAGAGGACGACCAGCCACACUGGAACUGAGACACGGUCCAGACUCCUACGGGAGGCAGCAGUGGGGAAUAUUGGACAAUGGGGGAAACCCUGAUCCAGCGACGCCGCGUGUGUGAAGAAGGCCUGCGGGUUGUAAAGCACUUUUAGUGGGGAUGAAAGGUACUCGGCUAAUACCUGGGUACUCUGACCUAACCCACAGAAAAAGCACCGGCUAACUCUGUGCCAGCAGCCGCGGUAAUACAGAGGGUGCAAGCGUUAAUCGGAAUUACUGGGCGUAAAGCGUGCGCAGAUGGUUGCGUAAGUCAGAUGUGAAAGCCCCGGGCUCAACCUGGGAAUUGCAUUUGAGACUGCGUAGCUAGGGUGCGGAAGAGGGAAGCGGAAUUUCCGGUGUAGCGGUGAAAUGCGUAGAUAUCGGAAGGAACACCAGUGGCGAAAGCGGCUUCCUGGUCCAGCACCGACAUUCAGGCACGAAAGCGUGGGGAGCAAACAGGAUUAGAUACCCCCGUAGUCC
rnacentral:rRNA from 1 species